ensembl:lncRNA
AUAAUAAUAAUAAUAAUAAUAAUAAUAAUAAUAAUAAUAAUAAUGUUCGCCUCACACCUCCAGGGUCGGGGGUUCGAUUCCCACCAUGGCCUUGUGUGUGUAGAGUUUGCAUGUUCUCACCGUGCUGCGGGGGUUUCCUCUGGGUACUCCAGUUUCCUCCCCAAGUCCAAAGACAUGCAUGGUAGGCUGACUGGCAUGUCCCAAGUGUCCGUAGUGUAUGAAUGGGUGUGUGAUUGUGUGCCCUGCGAUGGAUUGGCACCCUGUCCAGGGUGUACCCUGCCUUGUACCCGAUGCUCCCUGGGAUAUACUCCAGGUUCCCCGUGACCCUGAAAUGGAUAAGCGGUAUAGAAGAUGGAUGGAUGGAAGUUAUUAUAAAGAUUAUAUCAAACAGAAACUGGAGCUCAAGUAUUACAUUCUCCAUUAUUUGCAGCACAAUGUUUCUUUUCCAAUUGUGGAAGCAUUAUCUAUCCAUCCAUCUAUCUACCUAAGAAUUUCUUAUUCUUAGUAGUUCAUUCAUUCAUUUCUUUCUUUUUACUCCACCAUGCAGUGAAACAAAAGAAAUAGAGCAGUAAAGGAUUCAUGCAUUUCUUCACCAUUUUCAGCAAAGUCUGCUCUACAUGUGCCACAUUGUUCUAAUUGUGCAAGCUUUCUCCCCAAUGUGGGAAAGAAAAGCAAGCAGAAAAGCUGUUUGGUGACUGAAAGUAGAAUAUUACUAUCACUUCUGUAGCUCAAUAAAGUAUACCAAUUAUACCAACUAAUUAAAACAAUUAAAACAUGGAGGGCCUGGUAUCUAAAUUGUCCACAUCAAGACUGGGGCUGGCUUAUUAAAAUAGUCCUCUAAUGAGCUGCAGACAUUCUGAGUGUCUUUUCUCUCCUCUGGCCUUGUCUCCUCUGGACAGAGAAGGAGAAAGAGAGAGAGAGAGAGAAAGAGAGAAAGAGAGAAAGAGAGAGAGAGAGAUUAACCUCACACAUUCUAUCAUAUUUUUACAAUAUUAGUACGGUGAGUGUGUGUGUGUGUGUGUGCGUGUGCGUGUGUGUGUGUGUGUGUGUUCUCUAGUCAGUCACAACGCUUUCCUGGCUAUAACACUGAAAAAUAAAAUGAGAAAAUACAGCUAUGGGCUAGACAUACUAUUACAAUUUUAAUCAAAAUAUCUAUACGAAGAGAUCUUCAUCUAAAAUGAUUCGAGAAGUUCCUAUUACUACCUUCAGAAUGUAUUUUAUAGCCUUCACUUGUAUUCCCUUGUGAAUGAUCAUACAUUACCUUAACCUUACAACUCUUUCUAAUUCCACCCCGUCGUCUGUCUCACACCUUCUCCUCACCAGGGGGAAAGUAGACACUCGAGCCCCGUCCCAGAGAUGAUAAACUGCCACUGAUUCCCUGAUUCCAAUUUGUAAUUUUCCAAGUGUAGAGGUAGGACUCAGACGAUUGAUCAAAUUGAGGAGCAACUUGAGCCACCUUUCUCCCCCCCACUCUCUCUCUCUCUCGUUCUCUUUCGCACACUUGCUCUCUUGCCCAAAGACCCUCUUUAAAUAUUCAGCUAGAUUUAUGAAUGGCCACUGUCUCCCUCAGCUAUUUAUAUCGCCUAUAUUGACAGAAACACAUUCUGGAAAGAGGAAUGAAAUUUUGCUUUCUGUGAGUGCGACUGAGGGGAAGUUUGAUAGAGUGUAAUCUGACACCGGGUGGGGGGUUGAAACACUUAGAUUAAUGCAUUUUGCGGAACAAAAGUAGACAAGGAUUUAUUCAUAUUUUCCCUCCAUUUUUAUGAAAAAUUCAAAUGAAGGUCAAUUUUCAGGAUUACCUGUCUGGCUGUAAAAUGUUUCAGGACAUUUGUCAGGAAUGAAUAAAAAAUUAAAGACAUAGCAGACCAGGAGGAAAAAGAUAGGGGGUGGACAAAUAUAUUUCACAUGGAUGUAAUAAAUAUCCAUGUUAGUGCAGCAUUUGUUUGGAUUUGUGAAAGAGAAAGAGCACUUUUAGUCUUGUUUACUGUAAGGGUCAAAGUUCUUGUUUGCUCUAUCUGCCCCAGUUGGUCUGCGCUUAUACUAACAUCAGAGACCCUCUGAUCUCUGGGGAUGCUGGCAUCACCAUUCGAUCUGAUUAUUUGGGAAGGACAAAGUGCUUGUGUUGAUGAAGAGCCUGCUCGAAAAUCUGGGAGUGCAGAAAUCAAUGCAGAUCCUCUGGCCCCUGGAGCAUUGAUCAUGCCUGCCUCUGCAUUGACAACACAUGCCUUGUUUAUCUAGGUGUACGGGAAGGGCUGAAACAAGCCUUGGGUGAAGUUUUUUUUUUUUAUUAUUAUUCAUCCUUUUCUUUACUUGGCAUCUCUGAGUCCCUAUUUCCCAUCUCUAUAUCAACAGACUGGCAUGAUUAAUAAUACACAUUCAUAAGUUUGAUUGAAGAAAGUUUUCAGCUAGUACACAUACUUGUGGGAUGCGAGAUGGGUGUAGAGAGUGGAGGGGGUCUCACUUAUAAUUCCCUGCUUCUCCUGUGUCUUCAAGAGAAACAAUGUCUAUUCGCAUAGUUUGCAAUGGAAUCAAUCCACCAUGAGAUGGACGAGUUUGCUGAAACGAGGGCCGCUCAUUACCGCAGGAUGUUGUUUGUCCAGAAAGCCUUUUCCUCCCACCUUGUUAGAGAUGUCCAGCCUGCAUAAUUGGAUCCAUCUCCAGCUGCAGACAGAUACUCUCAUAGCGAGAGCUUGCAUAAAUGACAAAUGUUCCACCUAUCUAUGAACGAUGACCAUUUAAAGGAAUGACGCCUCGUUAUUAGGACAGCAGACAAGUUUGAAGGCUCCGGCAAUCUCUUCAGCGGUGAGCAAGGCAUCACUUCACUUAAGGCUGUCGGUGUUGAUUUGGACGCAGAGAGCUUCUUCUGAUUCCUGUUUAGCAAACGUGUUUGCAACAAAUAAGCGUCCACUUUGAGGCUAAUUGCCACUGAAGCAUGCGCAAAAUGUGUCAUUAUGAAACGUUCAGGGCUGGAAAUGUGACUGACUUCACAAAUUCAUCGCUGUCAUUCUCGAGAUGAGAUGAGCACAUUUGAGAUCAUUUGACUGGAGCCUGCCUUAUCAUCCAGACUAAUUGAAGACAGAGCACGAGAGUUUUUAUGGAUGAGCACAGCAUCUGUUUCUAGACAAGGUUCAGCAUAGACAUUCCAUACACAGGUGACUUGCGAAUGUUUAUUGAAACGCAAGGUGAGUUUGAUUAAAUCAGGGAUUUGUUUAGGUCCUCCACAACUACAUCAUGUCAUUCACAAUGUGUGAGUCAUAGUUUCUGGUUGUAAUGUGUUCCAAGCUAGGUCAGUCAUGGUGAAUGUUUCAUAACACAUGAAACCACCUGUCUGUCUAGUCAUGGACCCAAUACUGAAGAAAUCCUGUGCCUAGUCCUGCACCAAAUUACAGCCACAUUAGUAUAUGUAGAACAAUAAAUUCUUCCUUGAUUUGCUAUAAUGCUUAAGUACUGCAGAAUUGUGCACCUCAGUACAAUUACACAGUGCCCCAGAACUGUCUUUAACUGGGGAAAAAAAUGUGGCUUGCACCUGUAAUAGUCGUGUUUACAUCAUCAUCGGAAAUAAUGAAAUAAACCAAAACAAGACCUUUUUUUUUUUUUUUAACCCACAAUGGGCCAGUGAUAUUGUUUGUUUGUUUAUCAUUACAUACUUUAACCUUUUGAGCAAGUAACAUUGGUGAUUGAAAAGUUGCAUAAAGUAAUGCAACACAUUUAAAUCAUUUGUUAUAAUACUUAUAAAAAAAAUAUUUCAUCUCAUUUUGUGGCAAGAUCAAUCAUUUUUACACAACACUUUUUUCAAAGUUGUUUGAAUACUUGACUAAUAUUUCUUGUGCUAUUAUACUAUAUAUUCACUUUUUCACUGUCUAAUACAAACGUGCAUUGUUUCAUCUAUAAAUUAAUCUAAACAUCUGACCUUUUUAAAUCAGUUACAUUAAACAUGCAGCAAUAAUGCACAAACUGUGUUAGUAGUUAACAUUAACAUUAACAGAAUUUGAAAUUUUGUGACAGGACAAUGGAUGAGUUGAUGGUCUAUAGGUUAUUUACAGCACUAAACAUCAAGAGCUUGAAACCGAACUAUCCAAAUAAAGUGAAUGUAAAAAGAUGAGUUGAUUGAUAGUCCACAGUAGGGGAGUCAAAUCAAAUCCGGAAAGGGCCAGUGUGGGUGCAGGUUUUCAUUCCAACCAAGCAGAAGCCACACCUGAGUCUAGUGAAAGCCAAGAUCAACUAAUUAAACAGGUGGAAUCAGGUGUGGCUCCUGCUUGGAUGGAAUGAAAACCUGCACCCACACCGACUCUUUGUAGAUAAGAUUGGACACCCCUGGUCUACAGGUUAUCUACUAAACAUCAACAAACAAACUUUUGACAUAUUGUUUAAAAUUAGUUGAAACUAUAUGUCGGUUGAUGACAGUCAUUUGACAUGUUGUUGAUGGUCAGUAGAUGGUUUGUUGACUGUCUGUAAAGUCUUACCAAAGUAACUACUAGUCUGCUUUCAAAUAUAAAUUACACAAAUUGCUACAGCCAGUUUGUUUUUUGUUAUGUUAAUAAAUUAGCCAGCUUGAUGCAAUUAUUUUAACUGGAUGCAGACAUUAACACUAUUUUUUUUUCCAACAGUGAAAGGAUUCUUGAUGUAAAACAUGACUCACUGCUGUUAAUGUUGUCCAUUCUAUCUUCUUAAGGACUCUUUGCCUCAAUUCUCUAUUAUAGAAAACCAGUUCAUUUUGUUGUCAUUAGAGGCAGUGAAAGCUUCAUCAAAUUUGAUUUCCAAAUUAUCCUUCAUAUUCUUUCUCAACUACACUUAAGAAAAUGGCUUGGAUUAUUUGAUAUCUUAAACACAGGGUACUGAGAAUGGUUAAGAUAAUAGAGAAUAGCUAUGACAUGAAUACUAUAUAUAAAUAUAUAAAAUAAUAGCACUUGGAAAUAUUUUUGUAUGGAUUAGACAGAUGGGUGAUGAAAUGACGGAACAACAAACAAGUGUCUUAGUAAGGUGUUGCGCCACCACAAUUCACCAGGACAGUCUUCAAAGUGUCAUCAUGGCAAUCUGUAUCUGGCACAGAUUCUUGAGCCAUCCCUCUAAGGAAAUAACAGGACCCUAAUUAUGACAGCAAAAUGUUCUACAUCAUAAAAGAGCCACCAGGUUUCUUUCAUUUGUUACUCUUCUUUAUAUCCACCACACACACACACAAAUAUGAUUUUUUUUUAUUUAUUUAUUUUUUGUCAUUAUCAGAGAGGUGAAUUUUGAAAGAUUUGCUUGAGAGUUCAAGUGCAUUUGAAAACAUGGCAUCCUGUUCCAUAGGUGAUGCACUAUAUGACCAUACUUUCAUAUCUAUAAUGAGAUUUCAAGUAAAGAUGAUCAAAAACAAUCUGAUAGUCUAAAAAUAUAUAUAUAUGUGUAGAGAAGAAAAAUAUAUUUGUGUGUGGUGGAAAUAUGCAUAUGCAGUAAAUUUCCACAUGCCUGUAUAUCGUAUUAUCAUGUGUUGUAGGGAGACAUAUUGUGUUGUUAUUAUGUUGCAAUUCUUUUCUUGGAAAUGAUAUGCUCUUAUCCUGUCAUUUAACAUAGCUGUUUAUGAAGAAUAAUGUGUUGUGGGAAUAUCACAUUGUGAGACCUGUACUGGGACACAAGUUCAUUGCACACCUAGUACUGAACAGAAAAAAAAAACAGACAUAAAAGUGGACUCUUUAGGUCUCUUACCAUACAGUUAUUUCAGACUACACUAAGAAAGUGGACUGAUCUCUCACAUCUGCAGACCAGAACUCAGCGGGUGAUUUAAACUCCCUCAUUCUGGGCUGGAACAUUACUUUAAUUCACUGAUGCAUGAAACAUUAAAAUGUAGAAGGCACUAAAAUGAAGGGUGAGGAAGUGUAGAAGAGAGAACGAGCUUUCGAGUGAAGUGGAUUUAUUAAGAGUGGCCCAUGCUAGUUUGCUGCCAUUAUUAGCUGAUUAGAUGUCAGAGGGAAGAAGAGACCUGGCAACCUCACAAGGCGAGAGGUGUGAGCCAUCUUACAUCCGCAUACAAAAUGGAGCUGGGAUAAUUAGCACGGCAUCACCAGACGAUUCUGACUCUGAUGAAGGGGGAAAAAAUAGAAUAGGAGAAAGUGCAGCUCUGAAAACAAACUUUGAGCUGACAUGAAAAAAGUUGGAUGCGAAAGUUGUUAACAUCACAAUCAGAGAAAAAUUAAAGCACACGAUUUUACAAUGAAUUGUAUGCGUAAGAGAAAUUUGGGCAGCAUGCAUUACUGUAUAAAUCUAAUAAAUAUCAUUUAGCACACCUAAAAAGAACAUAUACUAAAUGUUUGUAUGCAUACAGGCACUGGAAUAUGCCUGUAUUUCAAUCACCUUCUUCCUCAUCAUUUCUGGAAUUUCAUUCAGCUUUGGCAUAGUGUGUUACUGGGUAAGACCUUUUAACCAACUUCAUGCUGUUGAAAAAGUUGUAUUUAAGUGUUGAUUUGAUUUAACAGGGUUUGCAGUAAUCCAGCCUGGUUGCGUCUAAUCCAGUUGAACGCCAUUAUGAAUACAGUUUCAUAGAUUUGGGGAAUUAGUAACUACGGGUGCAAAUACAUUUUCACACAGGCCCAGUUGGUAUUGGAUAACUUUUUUUUGCUUCAAUAAAAAACAUUAUUAUUAAAAAAAUGUAUUUUGUGUUUACUCAGGUUGGCUUUGAUUUAUCUUAGAUUUUGUUUUACUUUCAGGAACAAUUUUGAAUGAGAUAUACACAGAAACAGAAGAAAUCAGAAGAAAUAUUUUACUUUUUCACAGCACUGUUGCUUGUAACCAUGAUUUCAAUGUACAGUAUAACCUCUUAUUAAAAACAUAUAAAGAAAUUCUGAAGGAAAAUAAGGCUUGGAAUGAAGUACCAGAGAGCACGGUGGCUUAGUGGUUAGGACGUUUGGCUCGCAUCUCCGAGGUAUGGGGAUUUGAUUCCCGCCUCCGCCCUGUGUGCACACAGAACACUGUGUGUUCUCCAAGUGCUUCGGGGGUUUCCUCCAGGAAAUCAGGUUUCCUCCCCGAGUCCAAAGAGGCUGAUUGACAUCUCUAAAUUGUCUGUAGUGUGAUUGUGUGUGUGUGAUUGAGCUUUGUGAUGGGUUGGCACCAAUCACAGCAGAAACACCUGAGUUUUCAGGUUUCCCCUGUAUCACCGUAGCAGGGAGUCAAUAAUUAUAAACGCUACCACUAAACCAUAGAUGUUUGCAGCUCUGCCUUCAUGACCGCUGACAUCCUGCAAAUCUACAUACAUAUUUAUAAGGCUGAUUUUCAAUAGUCUCCAGCUGUUAUAAAACUGCUUUCAUAAUUUCACGUGACAGUGAUUUACACUGAACCGACCCAUCAUGGCAUUUGACUAUAAGCCAGUAUGCAAUGUGUAAUAAUACAAACCCAUGUUAACAAAGCUGUCACUUUACUCAAGUGUUAUGUCAACUUUAUGAUCUCGGUCACCUAUGUGAAUAAGCAUUUAUAUAUGUUUAUGAAGUAUGUCAGGAAUGGCUGACAAAAUGCAUACAACAUACAUCUGAUCACAUCUUCAAGUAAAGUGUUACAAAAAUUGUGCAUUAUAACCUAAAAAAAUAAAAUAAAUAAUGAUUAAAAAAAUAAGUAUUAAAAAUAAAGUUUAAACUUUUUUUUUUUUGUAUAUCAAUGACAUUUCAGGACAAUGGAAUACAUUUCUCAUAAAUAUAUCUCACUGAUAUUUAGGAUUUAGGUAAUAUGAACUGGAAUGCCAUAUGGUUUUAUGUGUGUGUGUGUGUGUGUGUGUGUGUGUGUGUGUGUAAGUGUGUGAGCUGCUGGCGUGAAAAUUGCUCAAUCGUGUUUUAGCAUGGCGAGUGUUCUGCAAGGCAUGCAUCUCUUGGGCUUCCCUCCCGGAGGCUCACUUCCUGUUUGCACACUGAUUUAAACCUAUCAGGUCAAACUUCACUGCUUCCUUCCUGUCUGAAAGGAAGUCAGAAGGGCAUGCAGGUGUUUUAAUGUGUGUGUCUAUUUCUAUUUGCCCAUUAGGUAUUUUGAGGAUAAAUUACUUUACAGACAAUACAUAUUAAUUCUGCAUUGUAGUAAAGAUAAAAGCAAGAAACUUUUACAUUUACAUUUAUUCAUUUAGCAGACGCUUUUAUCCAAAGCUUUUAUACAAAUGAGGAAAACAAAAAACUUAAGAAAUUAUUUCUACCCGAGUGUAUUUGAGACAAAGACACGAUGUAUUUUUGUACUCUGUUCAUUUUAAAGAAAUGUCUUUUGAGCUUGUCUGUUGUUCCUAUAAAGCUGAGAAACAAAUGUCAAUUUAAUAAAGAAAUGAAAGUUCUAAUGUCCAAAAUUUUCAUCAUGAAUAAUAGUCUAGAUUAUAACUCUAACACCAUCAAUAAUAAUAAAAAAAGAUAUAGUUAAUUUACAAAUAAAUAUAUGUGGCAGGAAUACUGCAUUUUUUUUUCUUUUCUCUUUUUUAUUAUUAUUUUCUGUGAUAGAAUUAUAAUGCAGGCUGUUGUUCUGAACAACAAUAUCGCACAUUAGAAGUUUAUUUCUCCAUGAAUAAAGCUCAAGCUGCAUAUACUACCUUUAUUUAGAUUAUUUUUCAAAGAUCUUAAUGAUUAUUUAUAGCACAUGACACACCUUUAACUGUUUAGCACCACACAAACUUUUUAAUGUGCUUGAAAAUGGCAUUAAUUCCAAUGCAAAGGCUUCGAGACAUAUCCAUAAACUACAAAUCCUAAAGCUCAUAUGCCUUUUCACAUAGUGCACUACAGUAAAAUAGUGGCCAGCCCUCCCCUUCAGUUCUAAAUCUGCCCAAGAGAAUGGAGGCAAUUCUGCAGAGCAGUCCCUGUUGUUGCUAUUAUCUGCUUUAUUGAACAUAGCACCCCGUUUCCAGGGCCAUUUACAUAAACGAAGGAGUCUAUAUAUUAAAGAAGCACCAAAUGACUCAUGACUUGGGGGGGAUUGGAGGCCCCAUCCCUCUUUCCCCUCCUCCCGGCAGAUCCCCACACUCCACUCCAACUCUCCAACUCUGCAUUGCAAAGCCCCUUACAUUAAAUUGUGAUAGAUGAAGAACGGAGGCCAUUCAUACAAAUCAAUGACUUUAGUGUAUGUGUCAUUAGCUUGAGAGAUGCAGGCAGCGGUCAGUGCCAUAAAUCAAGCGAUGAUCGGCCUGUCUGCGAGGCAGCACGGCUCUCCGCACAGCCGCAUGCAUUAGUACACUGGAGAGAAGAGCAGAAAAGAAUCAGAGCAAGUGGCUCUUUUGCUUAUUAGUGCCAUUCUAGGUUAGUGUGUUAGCUUACGCCCUUUGAAAUGCUUUGUUUUCUUUGUUUAUUUAUGGCCCAGAUGUGGAGCAACACGACUGUCCCUAAAGAUCACCCGACCGUUGGAUUAAUGGCUCACAACUCUGGCUACUUUGAUGCCAAUACUGAUGGCAGAGACCCAGUGACCUAAAACUCCAGAGAGAUGUGAAUCAAUAGCUCACCCUUUCACCCAGCAUGGCAAAAAGGCACAACAGCGAAAAAUAAUUUCCUCCAUCUUCGAGUGAGAGAGAUUUAAUAUGAGCUCUGGACCUAUUUAUGUUUUCUGUUAUGAGCAGGGAAGAAUGUGAGCAAACUCAUACUAAUCACAUUGAAUAAUUUGUCAAACUAAUUUCUAAACUUAUUCUUAAUUCUAAGAAUCACCAAAAUAAUGUUAGAUACAUGAUACAACAUUUAUAAUAUUUACAAUAUUCAUUGUGAUUAUAAUUAUUAAACUUAUAGUUAUAAUUAAUAUAAGCUCUAUUGACCCAGGGCCAUUUAAUGAACAUGGCAACAACAUGAUCAGGUGACUGUGAAGGUCAUAAUGUGACCUUCAUGUCAUUUUAUUACUUUUCUUACUCUGUCUCU